ensembl:lncRNA
GCUAUAGAGUCCUCCAUGGAGAAUCCUUUGCCUCGACUAGUUUCCCUGGAAAGAAAACGGUACCCAUCUAAAAGAGCACACUGUCUCCUGGAUGCUGCCAGUAUUCUGGGGUGGACUUUCAGAUAUCCAGGUCCCAGGUAGUAAAGUGAAUUAGGAACAGGAACCUGCUCUAGAUCUUGAGCACAUCAGACUUCUAUGUUAUACUAUUUCUACCACAACUGCUGAAAUCCACUCCAACACCUCAGAGAAGUCUUUAUUGUGGUCCUGGAGAUAACACAGAUGGAUACAGAUCAACUUCACUCCUGCAAAAUGCUUCAUUGAAAAAAAUCACAUGCUCAAAUAUGUUUGGAAAACGUGGCAGAUUAGAACUUCGUUUUUGGAUGUUCACACUCUGUAGUAAAGUAUUGAAGACUUUGAAAAAUCCCAUUUAACUCAUUUUCCCCAAGCUACUCACUUAAAUUUUUUCAUGUAACUUUAUUUUGUACCCUG